UAGGGAAUCUUCCGCAAUGGACGCAAGUCUGACGGAGCAACGCCGCGUGAGUGAAGAAGGAUUUCGGUUCGUAAAACUCUGUUGUUAGAGAAGAACAGCGCAUAGAGUAACUGUUAUGCGUGUGACGGUAUCUAACCAGAAAGCCACGGCUAACUACGUGCCAGCAGCCGCGGUAAUACGUAGGUGGCAAGCGUUGUCCGGAUUUAUUGGGCGUAAAGCGAGCGCAGGCGGUCAAUUAAGUCUGAUGUGAAAGCCCCCGGCUCAACCGGGGAGGGUCAUUGGAAACUUGUUGACUUGAGUGCAGAAGAGGAGAGUUGAAUUCCAGGUGUCGCGGUGAAAUGCGUAAAUAUAUGGAGGAACACCAGUGGCGAAGGCGACUCUCUGGUCUGUAACUGACGCUGAGGCUCGAAAGCGUGGGUAGCAAACAGG
rnacentral:rRNA from 1 species